UACGUAGGGUGCAAGCGUUGUCCGGAAUUAUUGGGCGUAAAGAGCUUGUAGGCGGUUUGUCGCGUCUGCUGUGAAAUUUCGGGGCUCAACCCCGAACUUGCAGUGGGUACGGGCAGACUAGAGUGUGGUAGGGGAGACUGGAAUUCCUGGUGUAGCGGUGAAAUGCGUAGAUAUUGGGAGGAACACCGGUGGCGAAGGCGGCCCUCUGGACCGGUACUGACGCUGAUGCGCGAAAGCGUGGGGAGCAAACGGG
rnacentral:rRNA from 1 species